ensembl:lncRNA
GGGCUCCCUAACAUAACUCGGCAAAACUUUUAAGUAAAAACUUCAGUGCAAGCUCUGCCAAACUAAACUUGCAGAAACAAUGACCAUCUGAGGCUGCAAGUCAUAAGGCUGCUCUCAAUGUUCAAGGGCUCUUCAGACAACUGUAAUUGGGUGGUCACUACAAGGUCAUGAUGUCUGAGAUCGUUCGCAGUCAAUACAGAAUCCCUUGCAGAGGACCUCGGGGUUACAGCACAAAAGAGACAUACUUACUCUCCGAUUAGAGGAAGUUUAUUUUACUAAGUCAACAGAAAAAAUACAAGCACGGAAUGACUAGAAAGUCUCAAAGGAUCAAGGAUAAAAUGAACAAACAAAUCUGCCCUACCACUUCAUGACAGUGCAUACGCAGGCAGCAGGGACUUGCUGCAUUCCUCGGGACAUAAAAACCCCAAAUGCACGUAUGCCAGCACAAUCAUCAGUGUGAGACAGCUGACCUUUGUAAGUCCACCUUUUCUAUGGUCUCCAACAUGGCUCUCUGUGCUGUCCAGGCACCAGAAGUUUCUUUUCAGCAGAUCCCUUGCAUAUGAGUCCUACUGAGCCUUAAAUAGAGGCACGCCCGCCAGUAUUUUCAUGAACACCAGUGGAUGUAAGCAGGCUCCAGAAAUUAAGAAGGUGCUUUGCAGAACUGAGCCUGCAGUCAGCAAGCAAGUGGAUCCCCAGUGACAUGCACCACUGGGUCACUGGGAAGCUUGAAGUCAACCGUAAGCACAGUGUGGUGAUGAGUGAGAACCAUCUUAAGCUGACAUCUUGGCCACCUCCCAGAUCUGGGCCUCAUGCACUCAUCCUAGGGGUGAGUGGUUUUCUGGGACUUCUGAUGACGUUCAACUUUGCAAAAACGAUGAACUCCUCCUCGGAGCAAAGCUCACGGCUCAGGUGGUAAAGGAAAAAUACCAUCUUGAAUGGCUCCUUGAAGAGCAGAAGACUCCAGUUCACUGUUACGUGAUCCUCUAGGACAGCUGUUUCCUCAGCAAUUCACAGGAAAGAUUUCACCAGCUCAUUUGUGUUCUCCAUUCCACUGUCUGCGUUCAUUGUGUUAUUUUUGAAUGCACAGUCCAGGGUUGCUUUGGCGUUAUUUACGCAACCCUUGGGGAGUCUGAUCAAAAUCCAAGUCCCUGAGGAAGACUUAAUGAUAAGGUUUAGGGGGUUCUUUUCUACUGAAGUUCAGCGCCUCUUCCCCACACUGCUUUGCUCUUGACUGAUAGUAGGCUGGUCAGUGCAAAGACAGGGAACGCAGCCAGGGUGGUCACUAAAGCCAGACUGAACUCUGUGGCAACAAAUGCCCAGCAAACAGCAAAUUGCCUGAGAGAAAGCUCUCCCACUGACAUUUAUGGGGAAUUUCUUCAUGGAUCAUCAGAUGAAAUUGUUUAGUUAAGCCCUUCCCUUCUCUUUCUUUGUUUUUUCCCUUGGUUCUGACACUUGGAAAAUGCAUCUGGAUUUUCUAAGGAUGUCACUGUUUGGGUUAUGAUAUUUGGGUCAAUGCUCACCUACUGUUUACACAGAAUAAAAGGUUCUACUUCUGGGGUAAGCAAAUUACAAAGUCCUGGAUGCAACCCAUUUGCCAAGAUACACAAUUAGAAGAGAUGGGCUUACAAGCCUAGCCUGUCCAGAAGUCCUCUUUACACCAGCUCUGGGACAUCACUCCUUUAGCUGUAGCCUGCUCCAGGAACUGCUCCUGUGGCUCAAAACAUCCAGGGUAAAGACCCUUGCUCCUUCCCCUGAGCCUUCUUCCCUGCCUAGUGCUGGCUAAUGCUGUUGUGCUACUACAAGUGCGGAAGUCAUCUGCUUCAUGCCAAGCAGUACGUUGACAGAUUUCCUUUCAGGUGCUUGAUGAACUCAUGGCUGGCUUAAAGCAUAUGGCAAGUUUUACUCUUCCUAAUUGCCAUGCCCUUCUAUAAUGAAAAGAGCGGUAGGGAAAUUACCAUUGCUCAGAUGACUCAGGAAACCAGUAAUGAGAAGUAGAAUCUCUCACUACGGUGUUACCAGAUCACAAGUGAGUUAGGUGUGUUUUCAUGACCGGAAUGAGCCAAUCCAAGUCAGAUUUUUUUGCCAAGAUAUGUAACAUUGCUUUUCUGCCCCUGCCCAUGAGUUCCCUUCCCCCCUCCUGUGCUAGCUGUAGGGCUCACACAUCUGGGAGACCAAGUGCUCGAGGCUGAUCCAGCUAAACACUCCAGUCAGCAGAAAACAGGAAAAAAGGGAAGAGUUCCCUCAUCUGAGUGCUCAACUGCACAAUCUCCAAGGUGCAGAGGUGAUGAGGUGGGAAUGAAUGAUGGAGGGCUGAGUCACCACUUGCAGAGGUAGUACUGAAUUAGAUUGCCUUAAGCCAACGAUGAAAGCAGAGAAAAAUAAAUCAACAAAACCAAUAUAUUUUUCAUCUAGGAAUUAAAAGUCUAUCCAUUUGUCAUCAUUACACUGUCUGAAGUCUUUAUAGUAAUUACUACAAACCUAAACGAUGGGACUCAUCUCUACUCAUUUAUCUAGCUAGUUUAAGCUAGUUUCUCAGAUCUGUCUGCUUCACAGAUCCCUCCAGUCAACAGAGAGAGAAGCUUCCAGAGGAGGAUGCAUCUUAUCCAAACACAGACAUUUAAGGAGUCUCAACCAUCCUCCAAAGAUGCUCUUGAGUUUAGUGAAAACUUGAGAUCUGUCUCCAGAGUAGCUGCAUUUUACAUCCCAUCUUGUUCUUGCCUGGAUCAGAAAUCCCUACACUACAGGAACCAGGCUGAACAGUGCAAGUGCUUUCCUAUUGAUAUAUUCUCAAUGAAAGCAAAGUGCUCUUCUCCAUCCCUCCUGUGCUGGGACUGCACGUGCAAGGGGCCAGAUAAUUUCUUCAGUGUGUUUUGGAUCAGGCUUGUUAGGCCAGCAGCAGGUUCACAAAGGUAGGCUCUGUGACAUCAUAGGGAUCAUCCCAAAAAGAAGCUGACAUCAUAAAUGACAAAGCACUAGACAGAAGAAAAGUGCCCAGCUUUCUGAGCUCCAUGUGGGGAAAUGAGGCAGAAGUAUAUCCUUCCAAAGAACAAUUGAUCUGGGGGAUGGGAGGAGGAGAUAUGAUUUCAUUAAUAGUUGUUAACAGCAGCUUUCCCUCCGGAAGUUUUUUCUGCUAUCUUAAGGCAAGGUCUAUGCGUGUAUAACUUAAAAGAUCUGGUAUAGAGAUUUUGAUCAUAAUGACUUAAUUAAAUGGGGUGUUUUAGGAGCUUAAUAUUACAUUGUUGCUGAUGGCUGGCUGAUUGUUUUACUUGCCUUUGAUCAACUGUGUGAGUGGAGGGUCAUCCCAAUCACCAUGGGCCUACAGUAUCUGUCAUCACCCCUCCUUCCUAUUUGUCUUGCGUGUGUAUGCAGAAGGCCUGCUUUUGAUGAACUGUGAAAAGAAAGAUGAACUGUUGUAAUGAAAACAUUCCCUCCCCAAGAUCCUCUUUAGACAACGUUCAAUUGGUUUGACCUUGUACCCCCUUGCAGAGGACGGUAAUGAUUCCUGCAGAUGGCUGGGUCAUUCCUUGGACACUUGGGAUCAAGGGAGCCAGAUUCUCCAUGCCCAUUAACUCUCCAGCUAUGUAGGCUGCAGCUGGGAAAUGCAAGAGUUGCAUGGGCUGACAUACCUGAGAUAGUUGCCAUUGAGUCAGUUGGAGUCCUCAGAUAUCCUGGGAUGCCUAUUUAUACUGAAGGGACUUCUCCUAGGUUCAUGGCACAUGCACACUCAGUGCACACCAGCUCACCAAGGAGGGCUGGACCUCCUGGGACUGCAGAGGCACAGCCUGGGGGAAACUGGUCAAGCCCGACCUUCCUUGCCCAACUGCCUGCAAGCUUGCUCAUGGCAAUAUGCACAAGCAAAAUACAUACCUGCUGGUUUAGCCCUGCUUUCCUCAUUCUUCCUCUACUUCAGAAGUUUCUUGAAAAUGCAGACUUCGUAUGUGUGGCAGUUAUAAGGCAUCCUGACACUUGGGCACAGGCCAAACACUGACCGUUUUUGCUUUGUCAUGCUUCAAUGAAGCAAGAAUGCCACUGUUUUUCUUUGAAAUGGCACAGCUACCAGCAUCUUGAUACCUACAAUAAGGAGUCUUUUGCCAGAUGCUGCUGUUUGCAGCUCAGGCUGGCGGGGUGGGCUUUUCUGCCUACCUUUGCAGCACGGGUCACAUAGGUAUGACCCAUUUGAUCAGUUUAAUCACAUUUCCUUCAAUUUCAGGUGCUUUAGAUGUUACAGCCUGAGCUGGCUUCACUUCUUUUGGCCUUUAUGGUAGACACAUAAUGGUUUAGUCACCUGAAAGACUGCAGCCUUGUCACUUGUUCAAAGUCAAGGGCUCUAUACCAGUUUGACUGGUCCACAUUGGAUAUGAGAGCAGCCAGAAUGCUUCACCUUGUGUCAGGCCUAGUGCACGCUAACUCCACAGCUUGCCUGCAGUGUGCUUAGCCUACAACUCCCCAUCAGUGUUCCUGGAAAGCAGUACUGCCAGCAGAGGUUUUCAGAUUUGUGACGUUCAUACAGGCGGAAUUCCUCCUUGGCCUUUAGAGAUGUUCUGCUUGAGCAAGAGCUGGCAGGAGUGGCAGCAGAGAAAUUGAGCACAGCAUUGCCACGCUCCAGACCUUCUGCAGACCAAGAGAUUUUGAUCGCACAUAAGGAAGAUGUUUUUACAGUAAGAGUGGUGAGGCACUGGCACAGGUUACCCAGAGAUGUGGUUGAUGCCCCAUCCCUGGAGACGCUCAGGGUCAGGGUGGACAGGGCUCUGAGCACCUGAUGGAGCUGUAGGUGUCCCUGUUCUAAAGUUACCUAAAUGUUGUUGAACAAGAGAAAAAGACAUCCCUCCAGCCAGCAUCUGAAGCAGUACAAUGAAGCUACAGCCUUGAGCUGCACUUGUCUGGCUGCUGUGUGAGUAGCAGUUGGAGGUGCGUGUGGCAACAGGCAUCAGGAGAUUACUUGCUUCAGUAACUUGGGUUGGGUGUUCAGUACCCAAAGUAAACACUCCAAUUGCAGGUUUGUGAAAAGACUUAAUAUCCUUUUCCUUUUUCCUUCUUUUUUCUUUUUUCUUUUCCAAAGAACAAUUCGGCAGCAUCUUAAAGCAUCUGUAUGACCUGUAUGUACAGCACAGAGAGUGAAACUGAACUCAGUAACUGUUUCACCAAGCAGCAACUGGAAAAGGAUAGGAGGAACAAUAAGGCAUUUAUGCAAUGCUCCAUAUGCAUCAGCCUCAGCCAUCUGGGAUCCAGGUGAUCCGUGCUCCCAAGGACAUCCCAGACACACAGAGCGUUACCCGGGGCUGACCUACGCUCACAUCAGUUGCAUUCAUGAAACAACACAACCAAAGGAGGUGUCCAUGUCUUGCUGGAAGGAAUACCCCGAGAUAUUAAAAUGACUGUUUGUCCAAAAGUAUAUAUAUAUAUUAAUCCACAGAAACAAGAUUCCAAAAGAAAACUAAACACUGAACUUGGUCAGCUGAACUAUGUGACAGUGUUCUCUGAGCACUGCCUUGAUGCCAGUGCUAGUCUAGGCAGAGGGAGAACCUUAUCCUUGGUGCAUGUCAGCAGAUCAGUCCAAGAGUUCCAUGCAUAUCCCAAGUAUUGACAGCACCAAGUAUGGAUCCUGCUUGCACAGAAAGCUCUCCAUGUUUAAUUUGAAAUUAAGAUUUUUUUCAUUCUGAUUUUUUUCAAAACAAAAAUGAUGGAGCUAAAGUUCUAUGCAACCAGAAAAUCAAUGGAAAAGAAGGCCCUUUGAAAGCUAAAAGCUUCAAAUGCACUGCUGAUCUUCAAAACUUUGCAGAUAAAAGAAAAAAUAUCCGCCCAUUUCUGGAUUUCAUUGAAAUCAGAAAUUGCAUGCUCUGCACUCCCAUAUGAAUGUCAAAUCUUGCACCUCAUCAGCAUUUAUCAUUAUUCCCACUUAAAAAUGAAUCUGUCACAGAUGAAGUGGAAGGUCGAACGAGCUCAUUGGCCCCUGGCUGGUGCGUGCUUCCCAAAGCUAAAUUCCAGAAGAGUACACAAGAGGACAAAAAGGAUGCAGAAGAGCAACAGAAAGGAGCUCAGCUCGGGGAAAGAGGAGAGCUGCUUUCUGCACGGAUGUCUGAAAUGCCUAAACCAGCCUGAUGCUCACACCAGCUGAGCCAAACUCUGGCCUCCCUGGGGAGUAGCAUCAUGGUGGCCACAGCCUGGGGAGCUCCAGUUCAAUGAUAACCAAUUGUGGGGCUGUCCUCUAGGAAAGCAUCAGUUGCUUAAUGUUCCAUUGUUAAAAAUGGAUGGGAUUAAAGAAAAGUAAGGCCUAAAAAUACAGGCUCAAUGAACUUGCUGAGAAGGCGGCUUCUUUGCUGGAUCUUAAACCCUUGCUCAUCUCACAGUGUUUGUUUCUGUGAAGGUGUGCAUGCCGUUGUUCUACACACAUCUAAUAUAUGCAUGGCAGUGUGCCUCUUGGCUUUUUCUUUUUAUUUAAUCUUUGACUUGACAGCGUUGGAACUUGCUUCUCUGUGAAACUGGAGAAGGAGGGAUUGUUGUGUGCGUCAGGAUUUGCUAUUGUUUUGUUUCUUUCCCUUUUAUUGAGUUACAUAAAGAAUCCCAGCAAUUCCUGGCUGCUCCUGAGUGCUCAGGUGUCCAUUUGUUUAUUUUUGUUGGACUCAGGUUGUACUUGGUGCAAAGACCACCACAUUGGCCACCACUGGAUGGAUGGUUUAGGACACUGAUGAGGGCAGCUGGCCCAGCAAGGAGCCUUAUUUUUACAGCAGCAGAGAAACCUGCCCUUCACUUUUGUUUGGUUGCAUUUGUAACACCCUUCAAGUGUUUUUAAUUUGGGAUUUUCUUCUAGAUGAUCUCAGGAUGAACAACUUCCCCAGAACCCUCCUCCCAUGAAACAACAAUUCAUAAAACCAGAGAAGUGCCCAGGAGCAAAAUACCCUCCAGAUAAUUGAGAGCCAGCUUUGUGAAUUUCUGCUUUGAUAACAGAAAUCAUACAAAAAACUGAGCUGGAAGAAAUUUUUAAGGUCAUCUUACCCUUCCACCAGCCUCCAGAUAGGAUCUGCUGUGCUGAAGGUGCUGGAUUUCAGAUAGUUAUCUCAGCCAUUGCUCAGACCUUCCCAUGGCAGUGUUUUCACACAGCUAAUCAUCCCAGCAAUUCAUGAGUCUCACAACUGGAAAAUGUCUCUUAACAUCUCACCUGAAUUUCCUUUGUUGCACUUUAAGCCCAUUACUUCCUUUCCUGUCCCCAGCAGACAUGAAGAGCAGUUUAUCCUUCCUCUUUGCAGUAGCCUUUCACAUACUUGAAGGGUGUUAUCACGUCUAACCGUCUUCAAUCCCCUAGACUAAACAAACCCAACUCUUUCAGUCUUUCCUCAUAGCUCAUGUUUUCUAGCCCUCUGAUCGCUCUUGUUCCUGCCUUCCUGCUGGACGCUCUCCAGUUGGUCAACAACUGUCUUGGAGCCUGAUGCUCACAAGUGGACACAGAUUGAUUCAACAGGUUAUUUCAGGUCAAAAACAGAGAAGAGUAAUUUCGAAGUGGGAGACCCUCACCAUUAAUGACCUACUUGCACCAGCUGCAGCACCUCUGUGAAACUUGGCUCUGGGUCAAACUGGCAGUCUCCCUGAGAAGUGGUAUACUCACAGAUGAAUAUCAGCAACUCGGAUUCAUCCUGGAACCUAAAAGGCAGCUGAAGCCAAAAAAAAAAAAAAAAAGACAAACAACAUCCUCUCAAUAGUCUGUUAGUAGAAAACUCAGGGACAAAUGACAAAUGGCAUUGUCCUGUUGUCACAGAACAGGGGCUUCUUCCUUUCCAUUUCCCAACGCUUAUUCUUCAGCUGAAGGAACAUGCAGGUAUGUGUAAUAUUGCACUUGCGAAAAGUCCAAAGCAAGCCCCAGGAAGACUUGUCUGUACAUUCAGCACAGUGCAAAGCCUGGAGGGAGGUGAACUCACUUUGGAAAUCACGGCAUAUUGGCUUCUAAGCAAGGAGGAUGGACUUAUUCACUGGACCAUGCUGACACAGCUCUUGAGCUCCUGGUCCUGCUGCCAGCUCUAUGGCCAGCACUGGGAUCCUUGCAGCACACUUCAUCGUAUGGUGUGGAAUUGCCCUAAGAAGCUCAUUGGGUUGUGGGAAAGGUUUUUACUCCUAGAGUCAGUUUUCAGGGCAGAAGGACUUCUGCUGUCUGGCUUUCUUGUCACAUUGCAGACUUUUUCCCUUGAAAUUGCUCUUUCCAAACUAACCUUAAUACCCCUCAAAGAGCACUUCAUUAGCCAAAAUCUUUCGCUUCUGUCAAGAGAAGACAAUGGAAGGACGUGUCAAAACAGCUAUGCUGCUACACCUCAGGCAAGGCUCAGCUCUCUUCUGGGGAACUGCUCCAUUACAUAUUGGCUAGGAUUUGUGCCAAGAUUUGUCAGUUAAUAUUUGCAAAAUUUAAUCACAACAGCCCAGAUUCUGCAUUGCUUUAAUCCCAUUGAAUUGUUCCUUAGUCCGUGGCAAGCGCCUCCUGUUUCAAUUAGACCGUUCAUGGUUAUGGGUGCUUUUGAAUAAGAAGGGAUCAAAACCUCAUUCUAGAAAUCUGGUUUCAAAAUGUCUUCAUCCAAAAGAGGACUGCAUUUCAGCUUCUGAAUUCAUAGUAUAUUAUAAAAAGGGAAGGUUUAAAUGAAUACCAUACCUGGACCAUUGUAGCAAAUGACUGUGAGGACCAGACUUGCUGAGAAGAGGAGAUGAGUGCAGCUUGGCUCUUUGCAAUGCAUCUCCCUGGAAUUUUCCUCCUUUAAAUGAAAGAGAGAUCAAACCAGAAAAAUAAGCAGGUCCUACUCCAAGAGGCAGGAUUGCCUCCUGAGUGCCAGAUAAUAAUAAACGAUGUGUUUGUAAUCCAAAGCAGAGAGACACUGGCAUUUUCUUCGACAUCAAAUGCAAAAAGGGAACAAAUAGUUCUGUAAAGUGCUUUUACAAUGCAAGGUGAAAGAUCUUUCACAAGAGAGAGAAUACUCUCUGGGGACGGCUGUUUGUAUCUUUUCAUUUUACAUCAGCGUGAAGAAUCUGGAAAAAAAGGAGAACUGUAUACGUACCUAAUAGCACAUAAUUUGAGGAAGAAAAGAGAUGAAACUACUGUUAAGAAGAGUCAAUUAAAAAAAUAUACCCAGGAAGGAGAAGAGACUGAAGGGGAAAAAGCUUGUAAGCACUUCUUUGUGCUGAGGUUUUUUAUCUCAGCCCAAAAGUUCCUUCUGAAUGGAACUGCACAGAGGGGAAAUCCCACCUCCUCCGGGAGGCAGCCACUGUGGGACCUGGCGGGUGCUCCUGGCAGCAGCAGCACGGGGCUGCCAGGGAAGCAGAGGAUCCGUGCAGCCCAGCUGGGGGAAAUUAAUUCCAGCAGAACAGAGCUGAUUCAGUUAUAAUUUGACUAGACCUCUCCUCCACAAACACCACAUGCCCUCCAGAAUGAUAUGAGAGCAGCUCCAAAAGUAAUGCCUUCUGUGUUAAUAGGUUGGCCCACAACAUUAGAGGCAGACGUUGGUGGUACAGCAGCAGAGGUUGAACCUUCCCACCAGUAUUCCAUUACAUGUUGUUGCCGUGUGACAGAUGGCAGCAGAGGAACAGUCUGACACAAUGGCAUCUGACGUGGAAGUACGUAAGAAGCAAAGGUGUGUCACUGAAUUCCUCCAUGUGGAAAAAAAUGGCACCCACUGACGUUCACCAAUGACUGCUGAAUGUUUACGGAGACCAAACAGUGGACGUGAGCACGGUGAAAGCUGGACAGUGUGGGCAACGUUUUCCUAGCAACAAUGCCAUCGUAGCAGCUGGGAAACAGUGGGUCACUUCUGCUGGUGCAGAUUUUUAUGAGCAUGUCAUGCAGGCUCUUGUUCAUUGCUGGUGAAAACACAGAGCUAAUGGUGGUGACUGUGUUGAAAAGUACUGUUUUGUAGUUAAGAAUUUGCUCUAUCAAAUACUGUUAUUGUGCUCUUUGUAUCUGUUGUGGUUUCCAUGAAAAUGAAUAGGAGGCACUACUUCUGGAGUGACCUACAUAUUUCAUGCAAUCGUAUAGUCUGGGCUCAGUCCUGUGCCCCAUCAGAAGAUUAGAGGGCAGGAUUAAACUUUGUGCAGAACAUUUUACCUCUGUGCAUCAAUUCCACCUUUUAAAAAGUGUGACGAGCUUUAUUCUCUGGUUAUUUCCUAAAGACACAGGUUGGCUCAGCAGUCCUGGCUUCCACUGGAACACCUGCUCUUUACAGGCUCUGCUGACUGAAGGACAAGGUAAUUAGGUAACUUACCCAAAGGUCACAUGGUGAGUAAAGUAGGAUUAGCGCUCAAGUUCCUCCUGGCAACUAGUCCUGUGCUGCGACAAUUAGAAAAGGUUAACCAUCCUCUUUUAGCUUUUGUUUUCCAUCUUCCAGAAUGUGGCAGCACGUACGCAGGGCUGGGCUGCCUCACAUUUCCUCAGCACUAUUUUGGAAAAAGAAGAAAACACAAAAGAAAGCAAACAAAGAACUCACCCCUGAAAGAGCUUUGAAAAGCCAUCGUAUCUGGUAGGAUGUGGCGCUUAAGAGAGAACGGAGCAAAUACUGGAUUAAGCUAAGCACACUGAAUAUGAAUUCUGGAAAAUGACCUGCUCCCUCGAUAAUCCCCAAAGCAGCACACACAGCCACUGUGCAACGCUUUGUCAUGCUGCUUCCUGUCUUUGCUCAGAAGCCAGCCUGGCUUCCUUGCCCAUCUACCCCAUAGGUGAGGCAAACAUUAGCAAAGGCUCUGCUGGAGUUGUCCUGCCUCAGCUCCUUCUUGCCUGAGACUUCUUGUCCAGGUCCCCUUGCACAGGCAUAAGACAAUGGGAAGAGUCCCAUUGGUACUGGGUGUACCCCACAAAACGUCUGGUUCCUCUUGGUGGGUUGUCCAAGGGCCUGGGCAGACAGCUCUUCUUGGGCGCAGCCAAGUGCUGGUCUUCCUUCCUUGGGGAAGUUUAGUGCUACUUUUGUUAGGACAGCAUAAGUCAUCUAAAGGACUUCUGCAUGUGCCACAUGGAUGCCCCUUUAGACACAAUUUUGGUGGCAUCUAGAUAAGAAAAUCACCACACUCUGUGCUGUCUGCUCCCAAAGCCAUUCAGUGGGACUCUUCCUAUUGGCCUAUGCAGUGUCUCUGCAAGCCAGGGACCUUGGCUGUUUCCAAGAGAGCCUUCCACUUUCCAAAGAAGGUGGACCUCCAGAGUCCUCCUCCGGUCCCUCCAGUGCCACUCCUCCCUCCUUCUCUUGUUGGUGACUGAACACAAAGGUCAGCUGCUUACCACUGAACGCAUUUCAACCACAACCUUCAGAGGACGUGUGUGAGACAGGCUCACCUGCCAUAGUCCCAGAAGGUUCAUCCUGCACUAGGCAGUGUAACUGGGUGAUGUAUUCCUCUUUCCCACUAUAAAUAUAGCCCUAGGGUAAAGGGUUGCAAUAAAAGAAAAUCCUUUCGCCUACUGCACUAUGCAGUGGCAGUGCAGUCAUUUAUUUCCCUGCCUGCUAACUGCUUGAAAUUCAGGUAGCUCUAUGAGCUGGGAAUUUACUGGAUCAUUCAUCAUAAAGCAGCUGUUUCAGAGUCAGACAGGGACCACAGCUUCCCAAAUACUAGUUGUCAGGAUUUGCAUUACUUAAAUUCGCAGUCAUUGAGAGUAUUUGCAAAAGCGAGCCCUAUUCCUAGGCUGUGAGUGGGACAGCUUGACUUUAAAGAGUCAGCUCAUAUUUCUUAUGUGUUAGAAAGAGCACCUGUUUAAACUAUGUAGAUCUGACGAACAGUGGGUAUGUUUUGGGCACUGACCCGUUAAUAGAAAGGGUGGGGCUUUGCAGUCAUUAACAGCAAUCAGCAACUGAAACAAACACAGUGAAAUAAAUCAGCGUUUUCUUUAAUCCAAGGAUAGGCAGGAGGGUGAAGACCAGGACUGAAAUAAACUUCCAACACCUCAUGUCUCAUCCCCAGUUGCUGGCCCUCUCACGUGCCAAGAGUUGAGACACACCGAGAGUUGAGAACCUCAGAAACAUCGCUGUUUCUAUUCCUGCAGCAGUCCCAAGCACUAGUUUGUUAUUAAUGACUCCGAACUGGCAAAAGAGUCCGGAGCAAGACAUUAUAAUCAGAGCAUCUCACACUAAGAUACCAUACUAUCCACUCUAAGAGCUUUUCGUAAACCUUGAUUAAAACUCUAAGAGGAAAGGGCAAGCUUUCUCUGUGCAUUUUUAUCAGCAAGCAAUGGUGAGUUUGCAUGUUUUGCCACCUCCUUGUCACUCACUGCAGAAGUACUCAGAGGGAACAUGACUGCCCAUCUGAACCAAAGAUUUCCCUCAGCCAACUCCCCUGCAACCACAUCCCCUCACGAGUUCUUUCAGCAAGACCCUUAGAUUCUACCACUUUGGUUCUACCAUUCAUAAACUGAUGUGCAAGCAGCUACAUCUGCUCAUCCGCCUUUGUGAAAGCACCCAUCCAUCAGCCACCUAAAAUAAGCAGCUGGAGUUACCCCUCACCUACAGCUCUGAGGACAUCACCGAGUUUGUGUAACCUUGGGUGGCUGCCUGCUCCUGGGGCAGUCCUGGCAAAUGCAGUUCUCACCUGCUCUGUGCAUUAGCAUUGUCCAUCUCAGCGGCCCAAAAGGUUGGGUGCAGGGUUAUGUAUGCCUUCUGAAAUGGGCAGUGAUCUCUUCCACGGCCACUGAGCUCAGAAAGCAUGCCCUGUACCUACAAGACCAGUCACCCACCAAAAAGUGAAAUGGCAGAAAGCACUUGUGUACAAAGCGCUCAUGGCAUUUGCACAGGGCCUUGACUGGGUGCUGGACACAUAAUACUUCUGGAGACUCUGUAAGUCAUGCACAGCCCCUGCUGUAUCACAGCCAUGUAUGGUCACUUGUGACUUGGUAAUGUCAUUAGAGGUCACCAGCACCACCAAAAAUUCUUCAGCCUGGAAUUGUUUUAUGAAAGAUCAAACCUUUCAAAAAUAAUAAAUUUUUCACUACAUCAAAGACAGUUUACUAACAUUCAAUGAAAACCUUUUCCUUAGAUUCUGGAAGAAGGAACGAGCCUCAUAAAAUAAUAAAUAUCUUUGCAUUUUAUCUCCUAUGCCUCUAUCUAUGGAGGUAUUUAUAUGGCCCCCAUAACUGGUCUCUGGGCCCUUACCUGACCUGAUUAGAGAACAGAUCUACUAAACAAAGCCAUGAUUUGUGUGCACACCAAACUGGUCUUCUUAAUAUAGCUUUCUGGAGGAGAGACAAAUUUGCUAGGGAAGUGGAGUUAAUAAGAAAUGAGUUGCUGCAACAAGUUUAUUUGUUGUAGAGGACACUGUUUGGUUGCAACACGUUUUUUUUUUUGUUGUUGCUGUUUGGUUGAUGCCAUGCAAUUUAAAGAGUUUAUCCCUUAAGGGCAGACAGAAGAGCCAAUCAAAACACCGGGGGCCUGAAACUUCACUAUACAUCUCAUCUUUUGCAAAGCAGAAGCAUUCAUAUACCUGAGUCUCGGCCCACUGGUGAAUUCCCCAUGAGUGGGGAUAUCAACAGAAGAGAUCCUACAAUCUCUUUGCAGAGAAGUAGGACAAAUGAAAGUGACCAGACCCAUGGUGCACCGCAGCUACCCUACAUGCCAGAAGAGGCAUCUCUGUCCCUUUGCCACUGCCUGGUCCAGUCCCAGCCUCGGGGCUGCCUUGUCCCUGUAGCCAUGCCCUGUUUAUGGGAAUGGGGGAUGAGUGCUGAGCCUCACUUCUACUUCAAUGGGGACUCUGCACUCUGCUGAUAGGAGGGAACAAGUUGCAACUUUCCUGAGAGCGAAAGGCCACUGCCCUUGGAAGAGCACCUGCACAAUAAGUCGUUUUGGAGGAUUGCUGGGCCAACCUGGGAUGCUGGAACUUGUAAGCUAGCAGCACCAAAAGGUAUGCCAUGCCCAAUCUCUGAAGCAAUACCACAAUCUGCACUGCUCUCCAAAGCAGCACUCUUACACUUCCAGAUGAUCUCAGACAACACCUGGGAGGCCCCAGCCACUGACUCGGAGAUGCCACUUGAAGUCAUGGAGGGGCUUAAGAGGCCAAGAGACUUUUUUUGCAGGGUUUACUUCUUGAAAUGCUUUCACCCCAUUGAAAGAUGGAAUGCCAAAACCAGGCACAAAACCUCUCAAAGAAAGCCCUUCCAGGCUCCAGCUCAGCAUGCCACCUGCCGUCAUCAUUUCUCCAACUGUUCUCAGGGGGCUCUUACAGCAGACGCAUUGGGCUGCAGCCAAGUUGGCAUGAAGUUUGCAUGAAUCUUGAGACAUUUUAUGACCUUAAUAAUGUUUAGCAGAAAUAAGCAGGGCUGUUUGCAGCUCAGGCCCAACCUAGUUAAAAGCAUUUCUUAGCAGGGUGGUGGGCACAUAAAUCAGUGUCUAUCCUCUUGCCUCUCUGUCAUUGACCUUUCUGUGGGAGGAGAAGCUGCACAGAGACAUGCGGAUUGCAGAGUACGCUCAUGUGCCAUUGUGCUGGCACCGUAUCCAUUACGAGCUUCUGCCCUUAUUCUUAGAGGACAUGUUCCAGUAAUAAUAUACCCCAGUGAACUUUUCCAUUAUGAGAUCAUGAUUUCUUCCAUGGGAGAUUCAGUAACACGUUACAAUUUACUAGCCUUUAGUUAGCCAGUAAGAAUUUUCUCACUGCAGCAAUGCAGUGCUGCACUUUUCUGAAGUGAUAAAGUCGUGUUCAACCUUUUAAACAGAGAUUCACUUCCACUUUUACACCUGUGAAAAGGAAACUUUUCUUGCAGAAAACUGAGCCUGCAUUUUCAUAUACUGCAUUUUAUACACCUGAUUUAUGCUUCCCGUCAGACAGCUCUGAAGGCCAAAUACUUGGACUGACAACCAUGAAAAAAUUGUGAGCACAGGGACAAAAAGCAAAUGCUAAUUUUGCUACUGAGAUCUCUGAAAGGGAGAUUUAUACUUUUGAAAAUGCCUAAAAAGAAACUCAUGAUGUUGCGAAUAAAGCGUCAAUAUAUUUUAACCAGGACAGGGCAUCACUGUUGAUUUAUAUUGAUGUAAUAUAAUCAUGCUUGUUACAAUCAUUUCAAAGGGAAGAUAUUCACAGAGAAGUGCAAUGGAUGACUCAGGUCUUUGUCACAGCAAAACAAUAAAAACUGCAGAAUUUAUAGCUGUAUAAUCAGGUUUUUAUUAACACCAAAUGUAAUUAGAUAACAAAGUCCAUCUCCUAAGCCUUUUCUCAAGACUUGAUCUGACCAAAGUUCUUCCCUCAAGAGGCUUUGUUUAGCUCAGAUCCUAGAUUGCAUGAAAAUGGUUCUUGGUUAGAAAACUGCACCCUACAGAGAGACUUAAGGAACUCUAUCUAUUUGGCUGAUCAAAGAGACAGCUAAGAGACAACUUGAUGGGGUUUAAGAGUGUCUGCGCAAAAAGCAUCUAGAAAGAGGGGUUCUUUGCUUGGAAAUGUGUAAGUUGAAGUGUGAAUAAUUAAGAGCAGAAACAAGCCUUUAACAGUGAAGGCAUUAGCACUGCAGUAGAUUCUCAUGAGACUUCCAGAUUUUCCAUUCUUUGAGGUUUUUCAUAGACAACAUCUCUCUCCCGACCCCCCCCCCCCCCCCCCCAAAAAAUAAGGCAGAUCAUUGGUGGGGCCAAACAUAAAAUAAAAAGAUUGACUGCAUGAAAAAGCUACUGCUCAUGGCUUGGCUCAAGUAGGUAUUCACAUAAAUAUUUCUAGAGCCCCAAUCCAUUGCCUUAUCUGCAUCAGUAGGCUGCAGAUCCCAUCUUCAUGGCCAGUCUUGAAACAUGCCUAGGCACUGGCUCUGUGCAGAGGUGGAGCCUCAAACAAAACUGCUUUGUUUUCCAGCCAUUACCCCAUUCUUCAGGACCAUGGCUGACUGGAAGAUCUGGUGCUCCACUGUAAGUUUAGAGUAUGUGGUUGGUAGUUUGAAAAUGUAAUGGGAACAUUUAGCUCCUUUCUCAGUAUGUGAAGUGCACAGAAGAUGAAAUUCAGAUUAUAAAGAUCUGCACACAUUUCUUUCUCUCAGUGUUCUCUCUAUGCCGGAGUAAUUUUAAGUUUGGGUCAGCUCAACUCAUACAUCAGACCUGCUCCCAGUAUGAAAAUCACACUGGAUUCUUCCUUCUCCCCAGAACUGAUUCUAGGUCCUUGAAAUAAUCUCACAAGAGUCUUCUUCAAAUAGCUUUUUUAAUCCCUUCAGUUCUUUGCCCUGUCCUAUUUCCAUUCUCCGACGCUCUCUUUGUAGAUAUGAGCCACGUUCCCACCGACGUCAUUACCAUAUCAAUUGUUUGCUCCGAGGACGGUCAUUAUGACUCCGUUUGUCUCUGUUAUUACUCGUUGCCCUUAGACUGGUGCUAGAGGCCUUGUCGGCACAGCCAGAAACAGAAAACACUGCGUGAUAGGGCAAUGACCAUAGCAACAACAUCACAUUAAUCAGGGUUUGUACUCCGUGUGAAGACAAACUUCCCAAACCAUCAAACUGUGUGAUACAAGAGAGCAUAAAGUUCCCUAUCAGUUGAGAAACUACAAAUCCCCCAAAUAUUCACUCCUAGACCUUCCUUCUGCAGGUGAGAGCAUGAAUUGGCCUCCAACAGGUUAACCCCUCAUAACACUUUCAGAGGAUAAUCAACACUUAAUGUCACGGUAGAUGUUAGAGCAAAAGACAUCUGAGCCUUCUGAAGCUUUUAGUUUGCAGCCCUCAUUGGGUGCUGAUAAUUUGGUUUCCCUCAAUUUAGGGAACACGAUUCAGACAGUUAAGGCUGAGCAGCAAACCUUACAAAUGCCAUGGGAUUUCUAGAAUUUAGGCUGAUUCAGG